CCCCAGGUCAUGUUUGUGGAGCCCAGCGACGUGAAACUCCCCCUUCCCCAGGCUGUUCCUCAGUUUCCAGCCCUGCCACUACUUGCAACAGCCAGUCAUCCGCCCAGGGUUUGCCAGGUUCCUCGGGGGCCAAGCAUCCGUGUGUACCAAGCACCUUCUGUGUGCCAUGGAGCACCUGCUACGUUCUUCCCAAGCCCCGCCAAAAGGUGUGGAGAUGUGGAGAAAA
rnacentral:lncRNA from 1 species